CUACGGGCGGCACCAGUCGAGAAUCUUCCUCAAUGCCCGAAAGGGUGAAGGAGCGACGCCGCGUGCUUGAAGAAGCCCCUUGGGGUGUAAAGAGCUUUUGUAAGGGACGAAGCUUCGGCAGACGGUACCUUACGAAUAAGGAUCUCCUAAUUUCGUGCCAGCAGGAGCGGUAAUACGAAAGAUCCAAGCGUUAUCCGGAUUUAUUGGGCGUAAAGCGUCCGCAGGCGGUUAGAAAAGUUUUUAGUUAAAUUCCAGGGCUUAACCCCGGAGCUGCUAAGAAAACUUUCUAACUAGAGGGUGGGAGAGGUCAUCGGAAUGGCUGGUGUAGGAGUCAAAUCCGUUAAUAUCAGCUGGAACACCAAAUGCGAAGGCAGAUGACUGGAACACACCUGACGCUCAGGGACGAAAGCGUAGGUAGCGAAAGGGAUUAGAUACCCUAGUAGUC
rnacentral:rRNA from 1 species